rfam:Gossypium hirsutum cultivar TM-1 unplaced genomic scaffold scaffold613.1, whole genome shotgun sequence
UUAUCUAUUUUUAUUGUUAAAAACUGACGUGAUUGACGUAAUAACAAAAUUGUUACAUGUGGCAUGCUAUGUGCACCACAUGUUGACGUACAAGAACUAAUUUUUAACAAUAAAAUUAGAUAA